GACGAACGCUGGCGGCGUGCUUAACACAUGCAAGUCGAACGGUCAGGCCUUCGGGUACACGAGUGGCGAACGGGUGAGUAACACGUGAGCAAUCCGCCCCGAACUCUGGUAUAAGUGUUGGAAACGACGUCUAAUACCGCAUACGACGCGCGAAGGCCUCCACUGCGCGUGGAAAGAACUUCGGGUCGGGAUGAGCUCGCGGCCUAUCAGCUAGGUUGUGAGGUAACGGCACACCAAGGCGACGACGGGUAGCCGGCCUGAGAGGGUGACCGGCCACACUGGGACUGAGACACGGCCCAGACUCCAGCGGGAAGCAGCAGUGGGGAAUAUUGCACAAUGGGCGCAAGCCUGAUGCAGCAACGCCGCGUGAGGGACGACGGCCUUCGGGUUGUAAACCUCUUUUAGUAGGGAAGAAGCGAAGGUGGCGGUACCUGCAGAAAAAGCACCGACUAACUACGUGGCAGCAGCCGCGGUAACAC
rnacentral:rRNA from 1 species